UUCAAGGACAGCCAGGGCUACACAGAGA
rnacentral:piRNA from 2 species